UUCUCCUGUCAAAUUGAUGUUAAUUAAUAGAUAAAAUUGUCAUAUUCUUUAGCAAAAUAAAGUGGCUGAUCAUAUGUUCUAACAAAGAUUUCAACCAUUGAUAUUCCUCCUACGAUAAGUUCAUAGUUUUUAAGUUUAUGAUUUAAAUUGUUGAAAAACAUCAACUUUUACUAUUUUACUUUGUCGAGCUUAUGUAUUUUAUGGUAGCUCAUCUCAUUUCAUGUUAUAUAUACGCCUUUUUGUUUCAUUUAGAAGUCUAGGAGGCAACAAUUUUUUUGUUCAACAUGCGUUUUAGUGGUGAAAUGGCAUUUUCAUAUUGGAAAUCUAUGACAAUACGUGGACUAUUUAAUUUCCUGUUUAUGGGGAUUGAAAAGGGUGUUAUUCUUCAGGAAGCUAGGGUUUUCAAUGAUCCUCAAUUGAAUGCAAGAAGAUGCUCAUAGGUAUGGUGUUCUAUUCCUUUUUUGAAAAAAGAAAUUGUCGUGCAAAAGUAAAUUUACACUCAUUCAAUUUUGUGCCAUGAUAAAUUGGUUAGACUAAUUUGUUGUCUUGCCUUCAUUUUUGUGUGCCUUUUCGGUGCUUCGAGUCAUUACAAAGCUUUUGUAUCUCUAAAUCAGGGCGACACAUUUACAAAGAUUAGCUCUACAGCUAUUAGUUCUGACAAACAUGUAUUCUUUUUUAAAAAAAUUGGCAUGACUGUACAAUGACAUGUUACAAGUAAGAUUCCCCAAAUCAUGGAAUCAACUAUAUAUGCUUUCGUUAGGUUAGACUGCCUACAUCACAUCGACUCCUAUGUGAACGCUGGGUGUUUGUAGACCAUACUGUCUUUUAAAUGAAGAGGUAAAAGAAACAGUGAAGAAAUAGAGAGAUGUGUGACAUUAGCUAUCAAAAUAAAGCAACUACAUCUUAUGAGAAAAUGUAAAAAGGUUCUGAAUUUUCAUUUGUGGGCAUAUGGGUUUGGAAGAUAUGGAUAAUAUAUGAUUGUGACGAACUCCUCGAUAUGUAUAGUCCAUUGUUUUUACACGAUAAAGAUCAUUAGUUUCAUGAAUUCUACUUCACUUUGCACCUCAGAAAACCUUUUUUUUAAUCUGGACUUUUGUUGCCCUAGAUAGAAUUGGUGUUAGUUGAUUAUGUCUUCAUCUGUAUGCCAUACCAUAUGUUCUUCACCUUAUAAAAAAAAUGAAAGAUGAUAACACAUGCUAUUGCAUGUCUACUUGAAGUGAAGGAUAAUUUUUAGUGAUGCAUUAUAUAAAGUGUGUUAGUAUGAUAUGCUUGGUUUUUGUACCAAAUCUGCCUUGAUUUGGGAUUUAUAUCCUUUAGACAUUAAUACAUCAAUCAUGUUUGAUUGUCGUUUAUUUUGACAGUUUUGUGAAUUGAAUUUUUAAUAUUUGUGUUCUCCUUAAAAGUUGUUACUCUCACCAAGUUCUUGACAUUUUGAUAAUGAAUUAUGUUAUAUUAGUUUGUUGGAGAAAUUGCUUAAGGGAUCAGACGUAUUGUAUAAGAUAUAUGAAGCUUAUGUGGAUGUAAAUGGAAGUUAUUAAAAAAAUAUUCAGUUGACCUCUGUUGCAUCGGUCACUCUUAUUAUGUUUCAUUUAGUUUUUGUGAGUUUGUCAAUUUGUUUUUCGCUGCUUUAUUGUUGAAUCCAUGUGUUGCUGAGUGCUUUAUUCUUCACUCUAUCUUCCUCCGCUUCUUGAUUGUGUAGUUUUAUACACAUUUGCCUGCUAAAUUAGUAUUUAGAAGAUAAUGUUAAUAUACAUUCCUCAAUUGUUGCAUGUAGGUUAAUUUUGCAUUUGUAUAAAUUUUGAAAUUGAAGCUUACAGAAUUUUAAAGGAUAUGUUGACAUUAGAUGUUAAGAAUUCAAUUGAUCUCGAAAUGCAGAUAGUGUUAUUUGGAGUUCAAGGGGAAUAAUGGGUGAACACUACAACAAAGUUGCUUGAUAGAGCAAUGGGUGGUUCAUAUAGAGGUUUAAUGACUUUUGACGAGCAACAAGUAUUGUUGCGUUGUUAGUACCAUUUGCUCUUCCUUUUAAGGAGCUAUGGUCUAUCAAUUAGAAUAAAGGACAGGCUAAGCUCUUAAAAUAAUGACAACAAAGAGAUGGAGGUGACUAUAUUUCUUCAUGAUUUCUAGAUCCUUGGUUCCCUAUCUUCAAUGCUUCUCUAUUUGAUUUCUUGCAUUCUGUUAUUUCAGUCUAGAUAUUACUUUUUGCUUCUCACAGAUUAUUUUAGUUGAUAGGUGUUUUCUUGUUU